rnacentral:rRNA from 1 species
GCAUGCAGAUCCAUUUUCUGCCACCGAAUACAUUAGCAUGGGAUAAUGGAAUAGGACCCUGUCCUCCUAUUUUCAGUUGGUUUUGGCAGCGCGAGGACUAGGGUAAUGAUUAAUAGGGAUAGUUGGGGGCAUUAAUAUUUAAUUGUCAGAGGUGAAAUUCUUGGAUUUAUGAAAGAUUAACUUCUGCGAAAGCAUCUGCCAAGGAUGUUUUCAUUAAUCAAGAACGAAAGUUAGGGGAUCGAAGACGAUCAGAUACCGUCGUAGUCUUAACCAUAAACGAUGCCGACCAGCGAUUAGGAGACGUUGAAUACAAAACACCACCAUCGGUGCGGUCGUCCUUGGCGUUGGUCUUCAAAAGCCAGCGCGGGGGUGGCUUAGCCCGGUGGCACCGGUGAAUGACUCCCCUAGCAGCUUGUGAGAA